CAUAGCGGCAACGGAGCCGUCCCUCCCGACGGGCGACGGCGACCCCUCCCGACGGCGGUGGUGGACACCCGCAAGGGCAGGUAGGCGGCACGGCAGGUCGGCACAGCAAUGCCGACGCGGUCUUCUCCCCUCAAGCGCCCAUCCCCUUCGGUGGCCGUCUUCUCGCCGUUACAAGUUCAGUUAGGAAACUCCUUGAUCAGAGAACUAAAAUACACAUGCUCAUGGAGAUGUCGGAGAGUUCCUUGAGCAAAUUAGACACCAUGCGGAUCACCUUUCUUACCCUCCAAGACUCACCGGACGUUCUGGCUGGCGUCGCCAACCGGAAAAUCAUCGAUGGCCUUGGAGGAUUGUUUGAGGUGGAACUGCUGCAAAUUUUCAAGAAUCCUGUUUCUUGGAAAUCAAACAGUCUACUUCCUUGUGAUAUUUAUACUUCAAGUGAUGAUGACCUGCUUUUAUACAAGAGCUACCUUCAGAAGUUUUAUGAAGCCAACAAACAUUCUGUUGCUUCUGCAGCUGAUGCUGUUAUGAAGUGUUUGGAAAAGGAGAACAGUUUGAGGGAGCUGUGGAUGUCUUCAAAGGUUAAAGUCAUCGCUUGUGAUGCCUCUCUGAGCGAUGAAAUCCUUGAGUGCAUGUCACAGCUUGUGGGUAACAAAGAACGUCUAUCAUUAUGUCCCUUUAUCGCUGAUGCUGCUGCAUGUAUUGAAGGGGAGGCUGAGCUGAUGAUCAACUGGCUGACAUGGCGUGAUCCCCCUUCUAAGGAAUUUGUCCUGAGCCGAUCUAUUCGACGGUGUGCCUUGGAACUUGCAAAAAUUGAAGGUCUUGAAUGGUCUUCUGACACUGCUGCUUUCCUCCUGGGAAUAAAAAAGGAGGCCCGGUGGUUGUGUGAGAAUAUGAUGUGUGAUGGUUUUGACUCUGGUUUCUCCACAAUGAUUCGUGGGUGUGCAUUUGAGUUGUUGUCCUGGAAACAAGAUGAAUAUACAUCUGAUGGGGACGUUGAUGUUGCAGUUGAUAUGGACAUUCCGAUACUUGCUGAUCACAAAGCUGGGUGAAGGUAAAAAAUUUUGGAAGAAAAUGUUGUGUGGCAUUGAUUAGAUAACAUUUGUACGCACCAUAGGGUUUCAUUAAGUGGCCCUGUGCCGGCCGGCUGCCAACGGUCGCACGGCACGGACAGCGACUCAGCAGGGAGGUGGAGCCGCGUGGCGGGUUGGAGCUCCAGAGGCCGAGCACUGGAGCCAUGGAGCCUCGUGCUGCCCCCCGGCCACCUGAUCUUGCCGAGAGCAGGCAGCGCCGCCGCACCGCUACAGGGACAGGGCGAAGAACGAGCAGAGCAGAGCAGAGUGUUAGAAGUGAAAUGUAAAUGAACAAGUGAUUUGGGAACUGAAAUGUAAAUGAACAAGUGAUUUGGGAACAACUGUCAUCUGUUAUUGAUCUCAUGAGUUUUAUACAA